UCAGAGACAUCCCACUGUGCUCCACUGCAUGGAGCCACCACUAAGGUGGAAAUGCUCCCAGCCAUUACUAAAGGUUCAGCUUGUUUACCAGAAAGGAAUAAUUCCUAUUUUCACUUAAAAAUUCAGAAAAAAUGUGAACAACUUUAAGUUAAGAAAACAGCAUUAAAGAAAGAGGGAGAACAGGAACUACUGAAGGCCCUAAUGCCUAUUGGACCUGGAGUAAUGUCGAAACAGAAACAGCCUCAGUCAGAUGAAGAACUAGAAAAAUUGUAAAAAGACGGCACAAUGAUAUGCCAUGAUAUUACCAUCCUGCCAAUAGAGGAAGAUAGAUCAACAUGGACGAUCAACACCAUCUUGCUGAAAUGGAUGAGAGCAAGCACAGGCUUUUUGGCUAAUAGGCUAGAAAAUAUCCUAAUAAGGCUCAGCCAACCCCUGAAGCACGUUUUUAGAGGUUCUGUUUCAGAAUAAAAACUAUGGUGCCAACCCUAUGGAAUUGCAAAACAGGAAGAAGAGAUGGGCCAGACACAGAAAAAACACUGCUAUGUAAAGGAGGAGCCCUUAGAAGAACAGUCUCAUUGCUGGGCGGCUAUGCUGCAGUGCAAAAACUAAUAAAAUGCCCCAGUACUCAGUAGUUUCUCUCCAGUUCCUUCCUUAAUUGAAGUUCCGUAAUUGAAGGUUUUCUGCUCUUCAGUAGGUCUUCUGUGGAUAUGCACUGUAUUAUGUAUUUGAUAAAGUAUCUGAAGACAUGGCAGUAGUACAGUGUCAUAUAGACAGGUGAGUUAAAUUUAAACUUGAUUACUGCAUUUUCAACAGCAGCCUACACAGAACAUUUUCAGUUUAAUAACAUCCGUAAAUUAUACCCCAUUAAAGGGAAGAGGGGAAGCCCUUUCAUUGUACUUUGUAUUUCAACAUCUAUCCUGUGACUGGAACCCAAACGAUUUAAUUUAAAAUUUAACAAAGUAUCUUCCAGUAGUGCAUGAGAGAUUCAUUUAACUAUAAUGUUGAUUAACCUAAAAAAUAAUGUUAUGAAUUCUGUGGUUCUAAAUGAAAAUUUGUUGUUUGUCUGAUGUCUCAUAUCUGUGCAAAUAAAACAAUGUUUUACCACUUGCUUCAUUCACCAUCUCAGUGAGGAAUGGAAUGUCUGGUUUUCUCUAGUAAGCAAAGAUGCUUGAAUUUCUGAACAUUAACAUAGUUUUUGUUCAUUUUUUUUUUUCUUAAGCUCAGCUCUUCGCAAUGCACAUACAAACUUUAUCUCUUCUUUUGUGCUUCUAAACAUGAGAAUGACAAACCAUUGAUUACAGUAUGAUAAUGAAUCACCUAGCUGUAUACUCCAUUCCUAUCACAGAAAUCAGUGCACACAUCACAUGCACACACAAAAACACACACACUAAAAAAAUAACAAUCCAGAGGCCUUAAAAUUUCUAAACUCUAGCUAAGUUUCUACACAGCCUUUAUAUUAAGUGAGUGGAAAAAGUUUACUACUGUUGAAUCUUUUACAUUAGAGGAAAGUACUAUGUAUAUUUAUCAUAAUACUGAUAAUAGAAAAGCUUUUUUUAUUCUACUCUUAUUGAAAAUCUUGUUUCUAUUAUUUUGUUUGUGUGACAGUUCAUAGAGCAUAUUUUAUAUUUAUCUUUAAUCACCUUUAGAGGAAGAAGGUAAGCUACUUCAUGUGUUUAAAGUUAUUUGAAUGUUAAAGAAAGCAAGGAACCAUGAGUAGAAUAAUUUAUUAUAUUCGUAUUUACAAAACCCCAGCCUCUUUUUAAAGGAUUAAUUUUACUACUUUUUCUCUGGGAAUGUGUUUACAUUAUUAAAGAAAAAUGUUUACAAUUGCUAAACCUAAUCACAGAAACCUUUUGCAAAUAACACCAAGUAACACUUUCCUGUGACGUUCUGAUAUUCUUGUAAUGUUUUUUGUUUUCUUUUUAAAAAUUUUGUAUUCAAUCUAUAUUUUUUAUUCCUUUUUAUUAUCUUGCAACAUGUUUAUUGUUACAAAUAGUCUAAACAGCGAUAAAAUCAACUUGAUUUAGAUACUUGAUUGAACAUGGUCUGUUCAAAAAUGCCAUGAUGCCAUGAUGACUUACUUAUUUGUUAUUCUUAAAAAUAAAUAAAUAAAUAAUAUAUAUUAUAUUUAUAUAUAUAUAAAUACAAUCCCAGUAUCUUUAGCUGGAAUUUCGGAGAGAAUAAUCAUAUUUUGCCACAGAGUAAGAGUAAAGUAUAAAUCUAUGUUGUAAUACAAUCUUAAUGAUUAAUCUUAUAAUCAUUUUUCUGUACUGCUCAAACUACUUUGUUAUUGUAGUUUAUUCUGGGAUACUAGUUCUCCACUAAGCUGUGUGUGGCUUGGCAGUAGGAGAUGGAAUUACCAUGGUAUUAUAGUAAUGGAAUUACCAUGCCUGUAUCAUAGUAGGCACGUGUGAUAGAAAAUAAUGAAUUCUUGAUUUGCUUGAAAAGUUCAGUGCUUCUACUUUCCUACCUGUUUUGGCAUUAAAUUAUGUGAGGGACCUAUUCUGUCAUUGCAAAACUGAGAUUUUACAGGUGUGACUCUAGACAGAAGUGAUCCUGGAGUUUUACUCUCUACUGUGCUCAUUCUUAUGUAGUCAUCACAACAUCAGUUGCUCCAUUUGAUCUACAGUAUUUCCAGAAUCAUAAAUAGAAUAGAAAUAGAAAUGUGUUAAACAUAAAUGAUAAGAAAAUAUUUUUGAAAGACUAUGUAACUCAAACAGACAUGAUAGUAUUACUUCAGAUGGUGUAAAAAAAUAGUCCCAAAAUUUAUAAUGAAGGCUUACUGAAAAGUACUUUUUGUUAUCCUUUUGUAUAAACGUGCAAAUACCACCCACUUUUUACUAUGUUCUGCAAAGCCAUGGUACUGUUAAAGACAGUUCUCCACACAUGAAACAAUUUUAAAUUUAAUUUAUAUUGUUAAUAUAUUAAUUCAAAGUAUACAUUUAUUUAUGUAGCUAUAGUUCUAUUGGUUCUAUCUGCCGUUUAGAGAUAGGAGGUCAUUUAGACAGUAAGUCCCGAUAAUGUUGUCCCAUUACCCCUGACCAAAUGCAGCAGUACUCUUUCUUCUCCCACACUCUCUGGUUCUUUUCUUCUUACCAUAACCAGCUGAAGUUUACCUCAAAUUGACGAGCUGGCAACUGUUCCAUGCUGCAGUAUUAUCAGUAUUAAGCAGUAUUAGGUUUACUGUUGAUCUAUAGUCUAAUAUUUUUCUCUUUGUGCAAAAGGUAAUGGUUUGAAAGAUGAGGGCAAUAUAUAACUUGUCUCUUUCCACAUAUCUGCCACUACGAAAUGAGACUUUGAACUGGUUUUGGCUACAAUGGAGUUAACUUUCUUCAUUUGGUGUUGUGCUUUGUAUUUGAGGUUAAAACUGUGUAGGUAAUACAGCAGUGCCUGUAUAUUGCUGAGCAGUGCUUGUAUAACAUUAAAACUUUCUCUCUCCACUCCAUGCUCCACCAAAAUCAGUAUGUAGCAGGUGGGCAAGAAUCUGGGAGGAGACGUAGCUGAGACAGCUGACCCAAAGCGAUUAAAGGAAUAUUGUAUACCAUAUGAUGUCACGCUCAAACAUAAAAAGCACAGAGAAAGUAAAAUGGGGGGGGAGAAAAGGGAAGAGGGGGGAGGGGAGGUUUAUAGUUAUGGCAUUUGUUUUCCCAAGCAACAGUUACACUAAGGUCCUGAAUGCCAGGAAAAAGUUGAAUAUCUGCCUGCUGAUGGGAAGCACCAAAUUAAUUCCUCUUUUUGCUUUGUUUGUGUGCACAAGGUUUGCUUUCUUUAUUAAGUUGUCAUUAUCUUGAUUCAUGAGUCUUGCUUUCCUUCUAUUUUGUCCCCAUCCUGCCAGGGGUGGGAAUGAGCAAGAGGCAAAAAUGGUUGUCUGGCUGCUGGAUAAGAUGAACACAAUACAGACUUCAAAAGGACAAAGUGAAAGUGUAUAUAUAUAGAUACAUAUAUACAUUAUAGAUUAUAGUAAUAUUAAUUUAUUAUAUAUUAUAGAUCCAUUUAUACAUUUCUUUAUAUAUAUUAAUGAAUUAGUGUUCUGUUUAUUAGACAGCUUUUGCAGUGGGUCCCAUUGAUAUAGCCUGAAGCAAAACAUACAGCAAAUUGAAAUGAAUAGAAAUGAGAACUUUUUUUUUUCAGAAAAAAAAUUUAUACAUUUACAAACCUCUCUUCUCUGCAUGAAAAAUCCAAGACCUGAAAUCAAUUUUUUCACACUGUGGUUAUGAGGCUUAGAUCAACAUAUUUUAAGCAGCUACUGCAGAUUUCCAUGUCUUUUUGGAAAUAGAAAUCCAAUGGAAGUUUCCUAUGGGGGAUAUCUUAAAAUCUGAACUAAGAGAUUAACAAAUUAAACAAGUUAUAAAAGAUUCAAACUGUCAGAUCACAUACAUUAACACAUCAACAAUACUCUGAGUGCAUAUAUAUAUAUAUAUAUAACAAAAUAUUUAUGCAUGUAUACAUGCAUUUACUGUACUACCAAAAUGUCUCUAUUGCAUUUGUUCUUUUGGGUUAAUAAAAAGGAAAUUUGGAGGAGAGGUGAAACCUGUGUGACAUAUCUGUCAAAAUAUUCAUGACUAACAAAACUCUUACUACUUUUAACAGCAGAUGGUAUUUCAUGAACAUGUUUUGAUGUCAGCAUGAUUAUCACUUUGCCAUUCCUAGUUUGUAAGUACUCUCCUUGUUUAAUUUGACAGCAUUUAUUCUCCUUCUAUACAUUUUUGAAUGUGUAUUUCUUCAGAAAAGCUAGCAUUUUCUUUCCAAGUGUACUUUUGCACCAGUAAGUAAAUCAUCAUUGACCUUUUCUAGAUUGCCUGCAGUGUCCCUUAUAUGACAUGAUUAACACCAUGCAAUUUAUUGAUCAUCCUUUAUUUCAUUGUAACAUUUAAGUACUGUAUAAUAAUUAAAGUGCAGAUUAUUCUGUCAUUUUUCUUCCAUGCAAUUACUCCUUGUGUAUGUCUGGUUUUUUUAUUAUGUUUUAGAAUUAAGAAGUCAUUAAUGAAAGAAGCAAGAGAAAUAAAUACAAAAAUGUUUACAUUUGAUCUGGCAAUCCAUAAAACAUUUCCUAUUUAUGAGUUGUUGAAAGUCUAGGACAGAAAAUAACUCUGAAGUUUUCACAGUGUUUUAGUUUUGGAUAUCAUACCUAAAGGUUGCACCAUUACGAAAAGUACAAAAUUGGAAUGAAUAGGUAUUUUUUAAAAGAAAAUGUCUCCUUAGUUAGAUGCACAGAGAUCAGGAUUAGAAUUUUGAAUUUAAUCAAGAUAAGGCUGACAAAUGAUAAUUAAUGUAAUAGCAUGCAUUAAAAAGAAAAGGCAGGCAAACAUUUUUGAGCUUAGGCAAACAUAUUUAUGAGCAUUAUUUGACAAAAUGGCUCAGCACAACUUAAAGCAGUAUGAGAGGAGUUCUGAAAUUGCACCUACCUACUUAUCCAUUUGUAUUAUUGACAGAACAUAGAUUUGUAGUAUGCAGAGUUGACAAUUUCCAACCGGAUGUUGAAGCACUGAUCUACAUGACAGGAACUGUGAUCAUUAGUUGCCAUGCUUGAAAAGGAUGUGGACAGAUUCAAUGUGGUUAGGUGCAAUCAGUCCUGAAAUUAAUGCAUAAAUGGAAGAGACACUUUUUCAUUAUUGCCUACUUUGGGGGAAACAGUGGGUGCAGUACUGUCAGAGUUCAGACUGAUAGAUAUUGAUACAAAUCAUUUUUAUAUGAUCUGCCUAUUUAUUAAAAUUGCUUUUCUGCUCUCUAUAUGGAAGUCCAUGAUGCAUUACAUUCUGAACUUCCCAAUGCUCAGAUUGCUGUUCUCAUUGCAAGAAAUAAUGAAAUGGAUUCAUUACUUUAUUCUUAAAAUAUUCUGAUUUAUUUUAGGAUAUAAUCUCUUCAAUGAUUUCAUAUACCCUUUUGUUGUCCAGUUCAUUUAUUUUACUGUGGGAAGGAAUGCAUUAUACAUGUUCUGAAGAGAUAAAAUUCAAAAAUAUUUUAAGAACUUUGUAAGUACACAAACAGAAAGAGGGAAAAAGACAUGAGAUGAUGUAAAGCACAAAGAUGUUUUAGGAUUUAGGUGAAACUCAAGAUUGUUAAUGUUAUGACAGUAUGAUUAUGAGCAACUGUUUCUCUAUAAAACAGAAGAUUAUUUUUUUUUAACGUAAAAUUUUAGAUAUUCUUUCAAAAUUAUAUUUUGGAAAGCUGGUCUUGUCACUUACACUGUAUCCAGAAGUGUAAAGUUGAAUCAAACAAUAAUCUAUUGGAAUCUCAAAUUUUGAAUGGAGGGGAGAUGGGGGGGCAGGGAGGUCCUCCUUUACGUAUUUAUGUUUCAAAUUCAGCAGUCAAAACAGUGAAAACCUGAGUGCUGAAAGCAAUGACUGUGAGUUCUCUGUACAGAGGGGUAUUAAAAGGAAAUCAACACUAUUACAGUGAUAUAAACAACCUUAUUAAUUAGAUUAGAUUUAUUAGUCUAGGGCUGUAGUGUUACUUCUGGGUGUUAGACCAGAAUCUCUUUAGAGAGCUAUGUUUGUGGAGGAAAAGAAGAAAAUAUAUCCUUCUUUGUUGCUUUUUAAAACAAAUCAAACUAUUUUGAAGCAGAAUAUAGGAUUAAAAAAGUAGAAGCAGCAGCAGGAAUAUAAAACAUUGAUAAGAUAUGAUAAUAAAUAAUAAUGAUAAUAAAAAUAACUAUAAUAAAUGUAUCAUUAACAUAAACCCAUGUACCUGACAAUCUUUUUCUUAAGUAUAUUCAGCUGGGUUUGGAUGUUUAUAAGAGCUCAUAAGAAUUUUGCCUUCACCUCCACAACACACUUUAUUUUUCAGAGAGACAUGUGAUUGUACUUUUUUUUUUUUCUUUUUAAGCUUUAUUUCAAACCUACAACAUUUGGGUUAUGGCUCCUUAUCUCUCUUGUUUCUAAUAAAUUCUUCUUCAGCCAAGCCAUCUUACAUGUUCAGAGUAUUCACUGUUUACCUUUUUUUUUUGUUUGUUUGCUUGAGGUAUGUUCUGUGACAGGUGAGAUGUUCUCUGUACUAACUUAAUGAAAUGCAUA